GUGUCAGCAGCCGCGGUAAUACGUAGGGUGCGAGCGUUAAUCGGAAUUACUGGGCGUAAAGCGUGCGCAGGCGGCUCUUUAAGUCAGAUGUGAAAGCCCCGGGCUUAACCUGGGAACUGCGUUUGAAACUGGAGAGCUGGAGUGUGGCAGAGGAAGGUGGAAUUCCUGGUGUAGCAGUGAAAUGCGUAGAGAUCAGGAGGAACACCGAUGGCGAAGGCAGCCUUCUGGGCCAACACUGACGCUCAUGCACGAAAGCGUGGGGAGCAAACAGGAUUAGAAACCCUAGUAGUCC
rnacentral:rRNA from 1 species